AUUGAACGCUGGCGGCAUGCCUUACACAUGCAAGUCGAACGGUAACAGGUCUUCGGAUGCUGACGAGUGGCGAACGGGUGAGUAAUACAUCGGAACGUGCCCGAUCGUGGGGGAUAACGAAGCGAAAGCUUUGCUAAUACCGCAUAAGAUCUACGGAUGAAAGCAGGGGACCGCAAGGCCUUGCGCGAACGGAGCGGCCGAUGGCAGAUUAGGUAGUUGGUGGGAUAAAAGCUUACCAAGCCGACGAUCUGUAGCUGGUCUGAGAGGACGACCAGCCACACUGGGACUGAGAGACGGCCCAGACGCCUACGGGAGGCAGCGGUGGGGAAUUUUGGACAAUGGGCGAAAGCCUGAUCCAGCCAUGCCGCGUGCAGGAUGAAGGCCUUCGGGUUGUAAACUGCUUUUGUACGGAACGAAAAGACUCUUUCUAAUAAAGAGGGUCCAUGACGGUACCGUAAGAAUAAGCACCGGCUAACUACGUGCCAGCCGCCGCCGUAA
rnacentral:rRNA from 1 species